CGCGCCCGCUUCGGGGCGACGCCCAGCCUGUAAUGAAUGGCGUGGACGUCACCGAGCCUCCUUGGCGGGCUCCUUUGCCAGCCUGAGAUUCUAAAUCUGUAAAAUGGGGCUAUAGGACUAGUUCAUGGGAUAGCUGCGAUUGUGCGAGACACCAGGGGGCCGGCACACGGCCUUCAUAUGGGAAUAAUGAAGGUCAAGGCCGGAUCCUGUAUCUUUUGGGCCUCUUAGUAUAAGCAUCGGGUGGGCACAGAGCCUCCUUCCUUAUACAGGAGUUUGAGGGAAUGAAGGAAGGAAUGAGCAAACUCUAGAGGUCCCAAGUAUUCCCUGCAGGAAAUCUUCCCAUUCUCCUUUCCAACAGAUGGUUUCUACCCUUUCAAGAACUUGGGAACACUCUAUUCUUAUAUAGAAAGCUGGGACGUGAUGUUCUGCAGGCCUGAGGCAUUAUCCGUAAAGCAGGCGUCCUCAAAAGCACACAGGAGUUCAAGAGCAACUCGGCUGGCUUGUUCUGACUUGGGGUUGCAGUCAAGGUGUCAGCUGGGACUGCAGCCCGUGGUAAACUUGACUGGAACUGGAAGAUCUGCUUCUAAGAGAUGGCUGCAACAUCUGUCACCCCUCAUGCUCUUCUGCAUCAUGGUCUUGCCUCAUGAUCUUCUGCAUCAUGACAACAUCAAGAGUCCAUUUCUCUACGCUGUUGAAUGUGGAAGAGCCCUGUGACUGCUUUGACAAAUUAAGUGUGAUACUGGGACACUGAGACAGUUCCAGGCAUAUCCCUUAACUGACUGACUGGCAGCUGUGCUGCUCCCAGUCUCGUGCCAUACUUGCUCUGGGGAGAAGCUGGCUGCCGUAUCAGAGGUCUGCUGGUCCUGAGACCGCCAUGCCAUGAUGAAGCCCAAGCUAGUUGUGUGGAGAGGCUACAUGAUAUAAAGAUGCCCCGUAAAAGCCUCUAAUGCUCCAACCAGCCCGGCCCAGGCACCAGACAUGUGAAUGAAGAAGCCUCCAGGUGAGAGAAGUCCCAGCCACCAUCUGGCGGUAAGAGCCACCCCGCUCAUUCUAGUAAACUCCCAGAGCUGAGGGACUUCACAAUCGUGUUAGGUCACUAAGUGUUGGGCUGGCUGGUUUCACAGCAAAAAUAAGUGGAACAAUGAACAAGGCUGGAUGUCCUCUGCUUCCCAGGGAGUGUUGACCGUGAGCGUCCUGUGCUCGUAACUCCACCAGCUGCCCACCUCACCGCAGUCUCAAGAUCAAGGAGGGACAGGCACUGUUUCACACUGCGGGCCCAUCACACCCUGGCACCGCUGCUCUCGUCACCAUCAGCCCCUCCUAGUAAACCCGGACAGUUUAACUUCCCCAUUUUACAGGUGAAGAAACAGUCUUGAGCCACGCAGCUGGUAAACUGGCCUGACUCCAAAACCCCAUGUCCCAAAGCCUGAGUCACUUCCUUCCCAAGGCUUCACUGUUAACUAAUCUUUAAAGACGCAAAACUGUUCCAAGCCCAGUCGAUCUCUCAGCAUUUGGGGGCUGAGCAGUAAAGGGUUAACUCAGCAGAUUUGGAGAGUUCACACCCUGCAUAUGCCAAAGAAAGGCCUGACCCUUGACCAGCUCUGGGAGAUCACCUCUAAGCUCUUGGGAUAUUCUGUCUAAUGAGAGUGUCUUUGAAUACUUGGGACCCUAGGCCACUCCAGGAGCUAACAAGGUGACUUAUGAUGGGGACCCUGGGUCAGGCUACUAUGUCAUUUGACUUCUAGAGGGAGUGGAAACAAAGUAACUAUGCCCACGUGACUGCUGCCUAAUAAAAAAUGCUGGACACCGAGGUUCAGGUGAGCUUUCCUGGGUGGCAACACUGAAUAUGUGCUGUCCCACAGCAUUGCUGCGACAAGGAUGCACGUCCAUAAGACUCCACCAGGAAAGGACAACCAGAAGCUCAGGCCUGGUCUCUCCUGGACUUUGCCUGAUGUACCUUUGCUGAUUUUAACCCAUAUCCUUUCGCUGUAAUAAACCAUAAACAUGA